CACCUCUCCCACGUGGAUGCCCACCUACUCCUGCUCAGGCUCUGACUUCUCCCGUGCGGCCACCUCUCCAUGUGGCUGCCCUCCUCACCCAGUUUGGUCUCCCAAACCCCAUGCUGGCCAUCCCCAUGCCUGGGCGCCCUCGUCACCCCUCUUGGGCUCUAACACCUCUCACAGGGCUCGUCUCCCAAACAUGUAGGUCCACCUGAGCACAUUGCUUUUAAUGAUCUCUUUCUGCAUCUGUCUUCCCCACAGGGCUCAGCAACUCUUCAAAGCUUGAAAUCUAUCCAACUCUUCUUUCUAUACCAUUACCUGCUCCUGUUCCGGUACACAGAAGGCACUCAAUCAAUGCUGUGUGCAUGAAGGAAGGACAACAUGGAUAAAGGCACAGAGGCGUGAAGGAGGGCAGAAACCAGUUGCUUUUCAGAAGAUGCAGUGCCUCGGGCAUCCUGAGUUCUGCGAGUGGAUCUGGGGCUCUUUCAAUGGAGCACUCUGUGCCUUAAUGGCCCAGCAUCGAUCGGAGCUAUCGACCCGUUGGUUUCAAAUAACUGACAUGGUUUCCAAUGGAUCCAGGGUGAGAAGAUGGAUAAACAUGGACUGCAGAAUCAGAAGGCCUAUAUCCAGAUUUAGAUUUUACUAAUUGAAACUGUGAGUCACUUUUCAUCUGCUAAGUUUGUCAUGAGGGUUAAAUGUGAUGGAAAUAAUGACAGAUCAUUUCUUGAGUUCUUACUUACCAUGUGCCAAUCGUUGUGAUAAACUAACCCAUAAAUUAUUUAAUUU
rnacentral:lncRNA from 1 species